ensembl:lncRNA
GGCAGCAUUCGGGAUUUUUAGUUGCAGCAUUUGGGAUCUAGUUCCCUGACCAGGGAUUGAACCCAGGCCCCCUGCAUUGGGAGCCUAGAGUCUUAGCCACUGGACCACCAGGCAAGUUCUGCUGCUUUUUAUUUUUAGUUAGUUGUUCUUUGGCCUGGCUUCUGGGGCAAAAUAUGGUAUUCGUCCAUCAAGUUCUGAGUCACCAUUGAUUUUCUGGAUCAUCUCAGAUGCGAAAGGCAACUUGAGAACAUUUACACCUCGGCACCUUCCAUCACGGGGCUUCCCUGGUGGGUCAGCAGUAAAGAAUCUGUCUGUAAUGCAGUAGAUCUGGGUUUGAUCCCUCAGAUGGGAAGAUGCCCUGGAGAAGGAAAUGGCAACCCAUUCCAGCAUUCUUGCCUGGGACAUCCCAUGGACAGAGGAGCCUGGAAUACUGGAAUGGGGGAGACGGUGAUGUGUGUAUUCUGAAGAAGUUUCUCAAGUAAUUCUGAUGCCCCUCUCCAUCUGCAUUUCUCACCCCAGGAUCACCCUCAAAGGAGAUCCUGCAUCUUCUUGUGUCUUUUGUUCAGUUCAGUUCAGUUCAGUUCAGUUGCUCAGUCAUGUCCGACUCUUUGCGACCCCAUGAAUUGCAGCAUGCCAGGCCUCCCUGUCCAUCACCAACUCCCAGAGUUCACUCAGACUCACGUCCAUCGAGUCAGUGAUGCCAUCCAGCCAUCUCAUCCUCUGUCAUCCCCUUCUCCUCCUGCCCCCAAUCCCUCCCAGCAUCACAGUCUUUUCCAGUGAGUCAACACUUCUCAUGAGGUGGCCAAAGUACUGGAGUUUCAGCUUUAGCAUCCUUCCUUCCAAAGAAAUCCCAGGGCUGAUCUCCUUCAGAAUGGACUGGUUGGAUCUCCUUGCAGUCCAAGGGACUCUCACGAGUCUUUGUACUUCUGCCCAAAUUCUUCCCUAUAUUCUGACUAUAUUCAGUCUCUGCCUUUGCUGGUGUUGUUCCAGAAUGUUCUUUUCCAUACCAACCUUCUGUCACACCCGAGAUCCUCCUGCUCACACCUAGCAUCCCCGAAUGUUCUCUUCUUCACUCUGUCCCCAAAUCUUCUUUCCCCCUCAACCCAUGGUUAAAAUAAAAUUCACGCCCCUUUGGGCCACCACAUUAACUUCCACGUGGGGACAGAAACUUUGCCUCGCUAUCACUUCUUUACUUGCCUUCUGGUCCUACCAGAGGUGAACCCUUAGAGGACCAGGGCUGUGUGGGUUUCAUCUUUAGAGCUUUGCCAGGCACACGCGGCGCUCAGUCACUAAGUGAGGGAAUACAUGCCUGAACACAUCAGAGAGAAUAAAGUC